UGCUGGUGAGACUAAUGUGCAGGGUGAAGACCAAAAGAAACUGGAUGUACUCUCAAAUGAAGUUUUCAUCAAAGCUUUGGUCAGCAGUGGUCGAACAUGCAUUCUCGUGUCUGAAGAAGACGAAGAAGCUACUUUCGUAGAGCCAUCUAAGCGUGGAAAGUACUGUGUGGUUUUUGAUCCUCUGGAUGGAUCUUCCAACAUUGAUUGUGGUGUUUCUAUUGGAACG
rnacentral:misc_RNA from 1 species